CAGUAAUGCCGUUUGGAUGCUUGUCCCUUCCAAAUCUCACAUUGGAAUGUGAUUCCUAAGUGCUGGAUGUGGGCGUGAUGGAAGACGUUUGAAUCAUGGAGGUGGUUCCCUCACGAAUGGACCAGUGCCAUCCUCAGAACCCUUCACCAGUGUGGAAAACGGAGUUGUUCUGCAAGAUAAGAUAAUUAAUUCGUCUUUGUGUCAGUGCAGCCUGCUUCAAGAGCUUCAUUCUGAACCACAAAAUGUACUUACCCAAGUACAACGUUUAAGUAACUAAUCUGCAUCAAUUGAUGUCCAUGGAAGACCUCACGAAUGUCUGUAUUCUCUUCAAAUUCCUGGUUGCUGAGUUUAUAUGUUAAUUCUGGCAGUGCCUUUGUGAAUUGACUCUUUGCAUGUGAGUGUUGCUGAAGGUGAAAUUCUCUUCUAUAAUCACAAAGAUACUGGUAGUGAAGAGACAAUUGCUUCAAAACCCUAUUUAGAUGAACAGUACUACAUUGGUGCAAAAUUUAAAAAAUUAUAAUAUAGGAGUCAAUAUCAUUUCCGGUAUGGCCCCAUUAAUGUCUUUCCAGAAUCAGUGAUGUAGUAGUGAGUAAUGCUUCAUCAUUUUAUAAAUAAAAC
ensembl:lncRNA